rnacentral:sRNA from 1 species
AGUGCUGGGGUUCUCGCCCCGCCCUGUACACUAUAGCUCCCCCACCCCUAUCUUCUGCGUCGUGCGCCUGCGCGAGGCGGGGCUGGAGGGGCGGGGCAAGGGUCACGUACUAGGAAGUACUGUCUACCCCCAGUCUGGGGCCGCGUUUCUGGGAUUUUCUAGCUCUGGCGGAGUUGGUUUGAUGGUGACAGCCAACCUACCCUGCUCUUCCACCAUAAGACAAAGUUUUGCUGUGUUAUCCAGGUUGGUCUCAGACUUGUGAGCUCAAGUGAUUCUCUCAAAAUUACCCUCCAAGGUCUCUGAAGUCACAGCACUUACAGAUUCAGCUCUUACAGCGAGUGUUAAAGGGAUUAACAAUCUUGGAGGCCGUUGGAGAUGGACGUCCUCUCUCAUGGACAGUUUCAGACUCUAUCUUCUAUUUUCCUGGUAACACUAGAAAGGGAAAUAUCACAACUGCACCUCCAGAUUUAAAAUACCAUAUGAAGAGGGUGAGAUAUUAGGACUUUAUUGAGGCCUAUCAAGGAAAGAUAUUUUCUUAUGGUCAAAAGAAUAGAUUCUGAGUUCUACAUUUGGUGUUGGGUAGAAACAUUGAAUUCUAAUCUGCUCUGAAGAUUAAAACAUUACUUACUCCUGUCUCUUUGGUUAAAGUGAAUUCAGCAGGGCCUGCCUGCCUACCACCUAUCCAGAGGCUCACCUUACAGAACAUCUGAUAAGGUGGGAGGUAUAACUAUGUAUUUAAUGAAAAAGUAUGCUUUUACUUCUCAGAAGUUCUUCUCCAUGAUCCUGCUUAGGUAGUUUCUGCCACACAGUACUGUUAAGCCUGCCGCUUUCCAAGUUCUAAUUCAAAAGACAGUAGCUUUUUCUUUUCUUUCUUCCAGGUUAUUUGCAGAUGCUGGUCACAAGCCUAAAUAACUUCUAAAUUCAUUUUUAAAUUCUUUUAUUAAUAAAACUAGAAGCUCUGAAAGUGAAGCCUGAUUUUGCAACAACACAAGCUAUUCAGUGUUUUCUUAACAUUUAUGGCAUGCAGCAGCAAACCACUGAACUGAGAAUAGGUCCCCCGUUGAA